AAUAAAUUUAAUAAUAAAUAAUGACAAAACAUUGUGUAUUUUGCACUAUGAAUUGGAUUUGAGAUCAUUUUGAUUGAGCAGAAAGAAUCACAGUUUAUUACUGAAUACUUGGCUAUGGCGGAAAAUGAAGAACUUCGGUCAAGUUUCGGAUGUCCUACUAUUUUCGUCACGUUUGGAAGGGAAAAAAGAAAAAUCGUCAGCACAUUCUGGUCAUCAUAUUAUGGAAAUAUUUGUGACUGAAUCCCAUCUGAAUGUUGGAUGACAUAUAUCAAGAUGACACUGAACAGGACAUAACUGAGGAAAAUGGAUGUGAGAUAA
rnacentral:lncRNA from 1 species